UACGUAGGUGGCAAGCGUUGUCCGGAAUUACUGGGUGUAAAGCGCGUGUAGGCGGGAGGCCAAGUCUGCUGUGAAAUCGCCCGGCUCAACUGGGCGGGGUCGGUGGAAACUGGUCACCUGGAGGACGGUAGAGGCGAGUGGAAUUCCCGGUGUAGUGGUGAAAUGCGUAGAGAUCGGGAGGAACACCAGUGGCGAAGGCGGCUCGCUGGGCCGGACCUGACGCUGAGGCGCGACAGCGUGGGGAGCAAACAGG
rnacentral:rRNA from 1 species